CAAACCUCAAGCAACUGCUUGGUAAUUGAGCUUUUCGUCUUGUUCAUUCGAGACGUGCUCGAAACUUGUGGGCGGUGCUGACCAGCAUCUUUGCGUAGUCAUAUAAUUUCGCAUCUGAUAUAACUGGUUUUGGCUACUCGCCGGAUAAAUCUUGGUUCUUUCGAAUCAUAAUUUUUCUCAG
rnacentral:misc_RNA from 1 species